rnacentral:rRNA from 1 species
CAAUUAAUAUAAAUAAAUUUUUUUAAUUUUGGUUAUAAUUUUAAUAAUUAUAAUAUUUUAUGAUUUAAUUAAGUUAAAUUUUUAAUUUAUAAUAAGUUGUAAGUUAAUUUUAUUAUAAACCAGUAAACUUUAAUUAUAAACUAGGAUUAGAUACCCUAUUAUUUAAAGCAUAAUAAAUAAAAGUUAAAUUAGUAUUAGUUAUAUUCUUAAAAAUUAAUAAAUUUGGCGGUAUUUUAUUCUAUUCAGAGGAAUUUGUUUUAUAAUUGAUAUUACACAUUAAAUCUUACUUAAUUUAUUAAAAUUUGUAUAUCGUCGUCAUAAGAAUAUCUUAAAAGAGUUAAAAUAUUCUAAAAUUUUUAUUAAAAAUUAUGUCAGAUCAAGGUGCAGUUUAUAAUUAAGAAAAAAUGAAUUACAAUAAAUUUAUUUAUAAUGAAUAUUUUAUUUAAAAAUAAAAUUGAAGGCGGAUUUGAUAGUAAUUUUUUUUUUUAGAAAAAUAUAUUGAAUAUAGUUUUAAAAUAUGCACAUAUCGCCCGUCGCUCUUAUUAAUAUAUAAGAUAAGUCGUAACAUAGUAAAGUUACUGGAAAGUGUCUUUAGAAUU